rnacentral:lncRNA from 10 species
UGAAUCAACCUAGAUGCCCAUCAACAGUGGACUGGUUAAAGGAAACGUGGUACAUAUACACCAUGGAAUACUAUGCAGCCAUAAAAAGAAUGAGAUUGUGUCCAGAAUUGGUUCCUUCCGGUGGGUUCUUGGUCUCGCUGACUUCAAAAAUGAAGCCAUGAACCCUUGUGGUGAGUGUUACAGUUCUUAAAGAUGGUGUGUCCGGAGUUUGUUCCUUCAGAUGUUCAAAUGUAUCCCAAGUUUCUUCCUUCUGGUGGGUUCGUGGUCUUGCUGAUUUCAGGAGUGAAGCCGCAGACCUUUGCUGUGAGUGUUACAGCUCUUAAAGGUGGUGCAUCUGGAGUUGUUCAUUCCUCCCAGUGGGUUUGUGGUCUCGCUGACAUCAGGAGUGAAGCUGCAGACUUUCACAGUGAGUGUUACAGCUCUUAAAGGUGGUGCGUCCUGAGUUGUUCGUUCCUCCUGGUGGGUUUGUUGUCUUGCUGGCUUC